UUGGAUUAGUCCAUCCUACUGUGCAUGUGCCGAAAGGAUUCAGGAAGACAGCAGCAAAACAAACGGCUUGGCGCAGAGAAGAGAGAGGAGAAAAGAAGACAACAACAAUGACGAAGUUGAGAGAAAUGAAAAGAAGUUACCCCAGCAGAGCUGAGAAAAGGAGAAAGAAGCAGGAGAGUAGAAAAUUUGAUACAAAAUUGACAAAAGUCACUAGUUUUUUCACCGUCACCACCAGCAACAAUCAACCGGUGACAUCCGUCGACAUCCGUUCAGGAGGGUCCGUCGUGUGGAGAUCGAGAUGAACAACCACACCACAUAGAGCAUGUACUGGCUGAACCUGCUUGCUGCUGCUGCCCAUAUUUGAGCUACCCAUAUUUGAGCUCACCACAACAAUAAAAGGAUCAAUUAAAGGAUGUGGAGGGCCCCAAAAUAGCUAAAUCCGCCCCUGAAUCCGCCCCUAAGUAGAGCAGUGAAUGUGUACUGUGAACUGUGUUUGAAUUGAAUCUGAUCAGAAAGGAACUGUGAAUUGAAGGUUUAUUACUGUGUAUUUGGUUUAAAGGGUGAACCAAUUUCAGUUUGAAUUUGAACUUCAAAUUUGCUAAUGUGAUUUCAACUGUGGUUUAACACAACUUGUGUUACUACUGUCACUGCAAGUGGUAUUGAUAGUUUAUUUUGUAGUUUAUUUUUUUUCUUUACUUUGCAAUUAAAAGCCGGCAUAUU